rnacentral:rRNA from 1 species
UGACAUACCUAUUUGUUGCCUCGGCGGUGCCGGUUCCGACAGCCCGCCAUAGGACCCCAAACCCUGAUUACAAUUAAGAAGUCUUCUGAGUAAACCGAUUAAAUAAAUCAGAACUUUCAACAACGGAUCUCUUGGUUCUGGCAUCCAUGACUAUUGGUUCUGGUGCGAUAAGUAAUGUGAAUUGCUGAAUUCAGUGAAUCAUCGAAUCUUUGAACGCACAUUGCGCCCGCUAGUAUUCUGGCUGGCAUGCCUGUCCAAUCGUCAUUUCAACCCUCAAGCCCCCGGGCUUGGUGUUGGGGAUCCCCGGGCUUGGUGUUGGGGAUCCCCCUAAAUCUAGUGGCGGUCUCGCUGUUGCUUCCUCUGCGUCUCGCACAUCUCGCAUUGGAACACAGCGCGUCCACGCCGUUAAACCCCCAAAUUUUGAACGUUUGACCUCGGAUCAGGUAGGAGUACCCGCUGAACUUAAGCAUAUCAAUAAGCUGGAGGAAAGCAUAUCAAUAAGCGGAGGAA